rnacentral:rRNA from 1 species
UACGGAGGGUGCGAGCGUUGUCCGGAAUCACUGGGCGUAAAGGGCGCGUAGGCGGCUUGGGAAGUCCGUGGUGAAAGCUCGUGGCUCAACUGCGAGUCGGCCAUGGAUACUCCUAAGCUCGAGUCGACUAGAGGCAGAUGGAAUUCCGGGUGUAGCGGUGGAAUGCGUAGAGAUCCGGAAGAACACCGGUGGCGAAGGCGGUCUGCUGGGGUCGAACUGACGCUGAGGCGCGACAGCGUGGGGAGCAAACGGG